ACGGGUGAGUAAUGCCUAGGAAUCUGCCUGGUAGUGGGGGAUAACGCUCGGAAACGGACGCUAAUACCGCAUACGUCCUACGGGAGAAAGCAGGGGACCUUCGGGCCUUGCGCUAUCAGAUGAGCCUAGGUCGGAUUAGCUAGUUGGUGAGGUAAUGGCUCACCAAGGCGACGAUCCGUAACUGGUCUGAGAGGAUGAUCAGUCACACUGGAACUGAGACACGGUCCAGACUCCUACGGGAGGCAGCAGUGGGGAAUAUUGGACAAUGGGCGAAAGCCUGAUCCAGCCAUGCCGCGUGUGUGAAGAAGGUCUUCGGAUUGUAAAGCACUUUAAGUUGGGAGGAAGGGCAUUAACCUAAUACGUUAGUGUUUUGACGUUACCGACAGAAUAAGCACCGGCUAACUCUGUGCCAGCAGCCGCGGUAAUACAGAGGGUGCAAGCGUUAAUCGGAAUUACUGGGCGUAAAGCGCGCGUAGGUGGUUUGUUAAGUUGGAUGUGAAAUCCCCGGGCUCAACCUGGGAACUGCAUUCAAAACUGACAAGCUAGAGUAUGGUAGAGGGUGGUGGGAAUUUCCUGUGUAGCGGUG
rnacentral:rRNA from 1 species